rnacentral:lncRNA from 1 species
AAAGGUCCCAGGUUCAAAUCCCAGGAGCGGAGUGAGUGCCCUCUGUUGCUCCAGCUUCUGCCAACCUAGCAGUUCGAAAACAUGGAAAUGAAGCCACAAGAUAAGCAAGGUUUUCCAACCUUCACUUGAAAAAAUUGAUACCUCACUAAAGCUACAGUUCCCGAAGCCAGCAGCAGUAACUCCACCAUCCAGGACCCCAUUCUAGACACUUCUUUUGGUUGGCU